rnacentral:rRNA from 1 species
UACCAGCACCCCGAGUGGUCGGGACGAUUAUUGGGCCUAAAGCGUCCGUAGCCGGUUUUACAAGUCCUCCGUUAAAUCCAGCUGCUUAACAGAUGGGCUGCGGAGGAUACUAUAAGACUAGGAGGCAGGAGAGGCAAGCGGUACUCAGUGGGUAGGGGUAAAAUCCGUUGAUCCAUUGAAGACCACCAGUGGCGAAGGCGGCUUGCCAGAAUGCGCUCGACGGUGAGGGAUGAAAGCUGGGGGAGCAAACCGG